CCAAAUUCUCCAUUGGGUCCAAGACGGAAUCUAGUCAUAUUUUCAUUUUUGUCAAGAAUGGCGGAGUUUUUGAUCCAGUCCCCCGGGAUGCUGGGUGGGGGUGGGGAUCAAAGAAAAAUUAACUUUUGGGCGUUUUGAACGGUUGCAGUCAGGAGGAAAAGAGCGUACUUGUUGGUGUGGAAGAUGUGCUCUCCAGGACUAGCAGUGAGGAUAUCCAAAGGUGACUCAGAGGCGUCAUUGAGAGCUGGGCCGAUCUCGGCAUUGUGGAAUAACCUGUCACCCUCCUGAUUCAGGAAAGUCAUGUUCACGCUGAUCCCGUCUGCAGAACCACUCCCGUGAUCCCUCAGGAUCUGUUGCGCCUGCAUCAAGUUCUCCGCCGCUAGGAGCGCCCGCGUCAAGAAAUACCGAGCUGCAACAGAGAACCGAAAAAAACGAAAAUGUUGAUUUAUUCAGUUAUUCAAAUAUCACGCGGGAAAAUUGCU